rnacentral:rRNA from 1 species
CGAAGGACCCGAGCGUUAUCCGGAUUUAUUGGGUUUAAAGGGUGCGUAGGCGGACUUUCAAGUCAGUGGUGAAAGCCCAUCGCUCAACGAUGGAAUUGCCAUUGAUACUGUUGGUCUUGAGUACGGUUGAAGUGGGCGGAAUGUGUCAUGUAGCGGUGAAAAUGCUUAGAUAUGACACAGAACACCUAUUGCGAAGGCAGCUCGCUAAGCCGUAACUGAUGCUGAGGCACGAAAGUGUGGUAGCAAACAGGAUU